GGCGGAGGAGGCAGCGACUCGUAACAAGGUUCAACUCAUAGUAAUGGUGUGAGACAUAUGCUGGGUUGAGAGAUUCUGGGAAUUUUUCAGUAAAAGGUGAGGUCACUCGAUUAAAUUUUCAGAUUCUCUCCUCGUCCAAUUUUCAGAUUCCCUCCUCCCCAAUUUUCAGCUCCCCAUAAAAGGUGAAAAUGAAGCUUUAUUAAUUAGACGCAGCAGCUCUCAGAUUUCUUCUUCUCCUAAAAACCUCUCAGACCCCAGCACCGCCACGAUGACCUCGACCGAGACGGAGGACGCCAUACGACAUCGCACCGCCAUCACCGAUUGCCGUAAGAGGUUACUCCAGCACAAGGAGCUCGACUUCCUAGUCCGUGCAGUUUCUGGAGUUUCAGUUUUGCGGAACGAACGCAGAACCCAGAAGAAAAAGAAGAAAGGAGUCGCGCCAACCAAAGAAACAAGGAGACAUAAUUGCUGAACUCCCUUCGCUCGGGGUUAAGCCACAACCUUGGAUCAUAGCUGGUUCUGAAGGUAUCGGAGGCUUCAACCAGCUCAAAAGGUCAUACUCGGUAGACCCCCCACAUAUUUAAACUAGGCUAGAUAUCAAGUAAGUUCCAGAAAUAUUGCCUGCAAGUGUUGUGCUAGCCACGAAAGAGAUAGGUUGCUAUAGAAAGGUGUAGAUACACAGAUUAACUGAUGGUCUAAACAAACAAACAACACCACCAAACCACAGUCUUGCUUGUUUUGAUCAGGGAUGGGUGACAGUUAUGUCAUUCACACCCCAAGUAUUUCCAACAAACAGAGCCCUAAGUAAACAAAGAAGAAAAAGUGUGGGGAAAGUAAGAAGAAAAUGACCACUGAGCAGACUAUGGCUUUCAAGUCUGUGGGUGAAUGGGUUUAUUUGGAUCAAGCUUCUUCACCGGCUUCCACUGCAGCUUCUUGUGUUGUGGAUGAUUUUGGGGUCCAGAAGACUCUUGGAAGAGGUGGAGAGAAGAUAGUGUUUGAAUUGCAUUCACAUUCAAAGUGCAGUGAUGGCUUUCUUUCGCCUUCCAAGUUGGU